UAACUGAAGAGUUUGAUCAUGGCUCAGAUUGAACGCUGGCGGCAGGCUUAACACAUGCAAGUCGAGCGGGGGAAGGUAGCUUGCUACUGGACCUAGCGGCGGACGGGUGAGUAAUGCUUAGGAAUCUGCCUAUUAGUGGGGGACAACAUCUCGAAAGGGAUGCUAAUACCGCAUACGUCCUACGGGAGAAAGCAGGGGAUCUUCGGACCUUGCGCUAAUAGAUGAGCCUAAGUCGGAUUAGCUAGUUGGUGGGGUAAAGGCCUACCAAGGCGACGAUCUGUAGCGGGUCUGAGAGGAUGAUCCGCCACACUGGGACUGAGACACGGCCCAGACUCCUACGGGAGGCAGCAGUGGGGAAUAUUGGACAAUGGGGGGAACCCUGAUCCAGCCAUGCCGCGUGUGUGAAGAAGGCCUUAUGGUUGUAAAGCACUUUAAGCGAGGAGGAGGCUACUUUAGUUAAUACCUAGAGAUAGUGGACGUUACUCGCAGAAUAAGCACCGGCUAACUCUGUGCCAGCAGCCGCGGUAAUACAGAGGGUGCGAGCGUUAAUCGGAUUUACUGGGCGUAAAGCGUGCGUAGGCGGCUUAUUAAGUCGGAUGUGAAAUCCCCGAGCUUAACUUGGGAAUUGCAUUCGAUACUGGUGAGCUAGAGUAUGGGAGAGGAUGGUAGAAUUCCAGGUGUAGCGGUGAAAUGCGUAGAGAUCUGGAGGAAUACCGAUGGCGAAGGCAGCCAUCUGGCCUAAUACUGACGCUGAGGUACGAAAGCAUGGGGAGCAAACAGGAUUAGAUACCCUGGUAGUCCAUGCCGUAAACGAUGUCUACUAGCCGUU
rnacentral:rRNA from 1 species